GACGAACGCUGGCGGCGUGCCUAAUACAUGCAAGUAGGACGCAGUUGCGAACGGUUGAGGUACGCGUAGGUAACUGCCUAUUAGAGUGGGAUAACUAUUGGCAACGAUAGCUAAUACUGCAUACAAGUAGAUGGACCUGAGUUGUAUUAGCUAGUAGGUAGGGCAAUGGCCUACCUAGGCGACGAUACAUAGCCGAGCUUGAAGGGUGAUCCGCCAAACUGGGACUGGGACACGGGCCAUACUCCUACGGGAGGGAACAGGAGGGGAUUGUCGGAAAUGGGGGGAACCCUGACCGAGCAACGCCGCGUGGGUGAAGAAGGUUUUCCGAUCGGAAAGCUCUGUUGAUGAGGAAGCGGUACUUAGCCAGAAAGGGACGGCUAACGACGUGCCAGCCGCCGCGGUAAUAC
rnacentral:rRNA from 1 species